GACGAACGCUGGCGGCGUGCUUAACACAUGCAAGUCGAACGGAAAGGCCCUGCUUUUGUGGGGUGCUCGAGUGGCGAAAGGGUGAGUAACACGUGAGUAACCUGCCCUUGACUUUGGGAUAACUUCAGGAAACUGGGGCUAAUACCGGAUAGGAGCUCCUGCUGCAUGGUGGGGGUUGGAAAGUUUCGGCGGUUGGGGAUGGACUCGCGGCUUAUCAGCUUGUUGGUGGGGUAGUGGCUUACCAAGGCUUUGACGGGUAGCUGGCCUGAGAGGGUGACCGGCCCCAUUGGGACUGAGAUGCGGCCCAGACUCCUGCGGGAGGCAGCAGUGAGGAAUAUUGCACGAUGGACGGAAUCCUGAUGCAGCAACGCCGCGUGCGGGAUGACGGCCUUCGGGUUUUAAACCUCUUUCGCCUGUGACGGAGCGUGAGUGACGGUAAUGGGUAAAGAAGCACCGGCUAACUACGUG
rnacentral:rRNA from 1 species